AUGCUAAAUCUACUCUGCCUGUGCUCUAUAGAUGGCACAACAAAGCCUGGAUGACAGCACAUCUGUUUACAACAUGGUCUCUUGAAUAUUUUAAGCCCACUCUUGACCUGCUCAG